GCUGGGCACAGUGGUGCACUCCUGUAAUCCAAGUGGCUUGGGAGGCUGAGGCAGGAGGAUCACAAGUUCAAAGACAGCCUCAGCAAAAGCGAGGCACUAAGCAACUCAGUGAGACCCUGUCUCUA
rnacentral:sRNA from 1 species